UAUCUAGAAAGUGGUAAUUCAGUUCAUUAACCCACUUAUAAAAUCAAUAUAUCACGCAGGGAGCUGAACAAAACUUGGCAGCUGUGCCUAUAUCCCCUUUGCACCUGAGGGAAGCCUGACUGAAAGAAUCAGAGCCUCUUCACUCUGCCUGUGGCAGCGUGCAGCAGCCACGGACCCUCACCAGGAUCUGCAGAGCAAGCCUUGCCUCCUAAGUUAGCUCUUGGAAACUUUUGUGCAUAGGAUGUCCAGCUGCAGGAGGCUUUUUCUUUAGUGGAAGUGGAGGUUCGCAUAGAAAUAGGUUGAUCUUCCUGAGUCCCCGGUGGCACAGGUCCCAGAGCCCUGGGUUACUUAGGGUCAGUCGUCCUGGUGGUUGCAGUCAUGACGGAGUGGUAAAUCCACUAUUGAUUCUCAGAUAUUUCAUCUACUUUCUUUUGUAUUAGUAAUAAGAUUAAAAAAAAUACAUCGCAGGAGAACAUGUGUUUCACAAAUGCCGUCAUUGUUUUCUGAAACAGAAAGGCUGGUCGAAAAGCGGAGCUGGAAAAGCACGACCCCCCAUUUUGUGCGUGGUAGGCUCCUCUUGACAUUAUGCACUGACGUGAAAGGAUAUGGCUUUCCUGCUGACUUCAGCGAGAGGGAGCAUGGACAUUUGGAAAAGAAAUACAGGCUUAGCAGCAGUGGAGUAAGCAUCUACAUGAAGAAAACAAAGAGUUCAGCCUGAGACCGAGAAAUUGCUUCAUAAGAAAACCAUCUGUGUUGAGAGAGAUGGACUAAGCAGCUGGAUCCCUGCCAUACUGUCUGGGGGAAUAUGGUUGUUCUGGACAAGAGGAACAAUGGGAGCAGAAUGGCUGAUAUAUGUGUGCACACAGGUAGGUGCGCGCACACGCACACACACACUAGCAAAAACAUGUGUGUUGUUUAGCAUACAUUUUAUACUGAAUAUACAGAUGUAUAUAGUACUAUGCAUUAGUAACAUAUGUGUGUACACAUGAAUGUAUUUGUGUACAUAUACACAUACAUGUAUGACUGAACUCUGUGA
rnacentral:lncRNA from 1 species